rfam:Triticum aestivum genome assembly, contig: Triticum_aestivum_CS42_TGACv1_scaffold_211242_3AS
GUAGUACUCCCUCCGUCCGGAAAUACUUGUCAUCAAAAUGAAUAAAAGGGGAUGUAUCUAAAUGUCUAUUUGUUCUAGAUACAUCUUUUUUUAUCCAUUUUGGUGACAAGUAUUUUCGGACGGGGGGAGUACUUG